rnacentral:rRNA from 1 species
UCUAAGUGCGAAGCCAGCCGCAAGAUUAGAUUUCCGUUGAGGGUCGUCGCAGACUACGACGUUGAUAGGAGGCAGGUGUAAAGACGGUGACGUCAAAGCCGAGCCUUACUAAUAGCCCGAGACUUUUUCUUUU